UCGGGAAGACAGGCGGUCGCCGUUUCGACGGAGGAAAGUCUGGACAUCGCAGGAGAGGAUACCAGCGAAAGGCUGGGGGCCGCAAGGCUACGGAAAGUGCAACAGAAAACAUACCGCUGCAGCCUGGCUGCAGGGAGGGUGAAAUGCCUGCUUCGAGAGCAGGCCCUGAUCAAGGUAACUUGGACAGGUGGCAAACCCUAUCCGAUGCAAAACCGAUUUAAAGCAAUACAGCUCUCCGCUGUGCUUUAGAUGUGUUGCUUGAGGGCUUUGGCGACAAAGCUCCUAGAGGAAUGAUCGCCUAAUGGCAGCAAUGCCAGGGACAGAAUCCGGCUUAUCGUCUUCCCGAACUU
rnacentral:RNase_P_RNA from 2 species